rnacentral:rRNA from 1 species
AGUGAACGCUGGCGGAAGGCCUAACACAUGCAAGUCGAACGGCAGCACAGGAGAGCUUGCUCUCUGGGUGGCGAGUGGCGGACGGGUGAGGAAUACAUCGGAAUCUACUUUUUCGUGGGGGAUAACGUAGGGAAACUUACGCUAAUACCGCAUACGACCUACGGGUGGAAGCAGGGGACCUUCGGGCCUUGCGCGAUUGAAUGAGCCGAUGUCGGAUUAGCUAGUUGGCGGGGUAAAGGCCCACCAAGGCGACGAUCCGUAGCUGGUCUGAGAGGAUGAUCAGCCACACUGGAACUGAGACACGGUCCAGACUCCUACGGGAGGCAGCAGUGGGGAAUAUUGGACAAUGGGCGCAAGCCUGAUCCAGCCAUACCGCGUGGGUGAAGAAGGCCUUCGGGUUGUAAAGCCCUUUUGUUGGGAAAGAAAUCCAGCUGGCUAAUACCCGGUUGGGAUGACGGUACCCAAAGAAUAAGCACCGGCUAACUUCGUGCCAGCCGCCGCGGUAA